CCCAGGCUUUGUCUCUAGGAUGAUUAACUUGCUGCAGGUCUCUGCUGGAGUGGGGAGAAUUGUUUAGGGUGGCACAAGAAGCUGGAACUAACUGGGAGCACUGGGGUGAAUAAAGAACAAGAACAUUUGGACUGAAUAUCACAUCCAAUAGCAAGAGCUGACAUUCAGCCUAGGAGGAGGGGGAAAUCGGCCACCCUCGCAAAGGUGGAAUGGAGAAUACGCUACUGGGAAUGAUCCUGUGCCGACUGCUCAAUAGAUGAGAUGACAUCCAGGGUCCAGAUUAGACAGAAAGGAGUUAUGAACAUCCACCAACUGCAGUGUCUACAACUUCAGAGGCACCUGCUGGUCCCACCAAACAUACAUCAGACAAUAAGUGAUCUGUAUUGUUUUUAAAAAGACUUUCUUCAUCAUCCAUAGUUUUGCUGGAUGAGUUCAUAAUCAGGACCAGCAAAUUCUAAUAAGUUUCCAGCUGAAAGAUUGCUCGGUUCAUUCAUGCAACAAAUUCUCCUUGAUUGAUAUAGUUCAAUCAUUACAACCAGGCUGUGCUCCACCUGGCAGAGCAGACACUGUCGGAAGGUUGCUGGAUACAGCUUAUGAGAAGGAAAUUGAACCAUGUGCAAAAAACUUUUACAGGAAAUUGGUUACGCUGAGUCUUGAUGGGUGGCACCACCUCACAAUGAUCCAGUAAUAUGUGCUUGUGCGACAACAGAAGAUGCGGUUGUCUGUGUUACAGAAAAAAUUGCUGCAUCACGAACAGCCCAUACAGCAGAAUACUUAGAACAGUGGUUCUCAACCUACUUACCAUUGUGUGCGGCUCUCUAUGCAUUAUGUGGGCCACAUCAGCACAAUAUACACAUUACCUUUAUGGCCCUGAAGAUGUCACAUGGGCUGCAGCUGUGCGCUGAUUGGGCCGCAAGCGGCCCACGAGCUGAGAACCACAGACUUAGAAGAAGUAAUAGUAAAAGCUAUAACAAACUAUGAACAUUCAAGUGUCAAGUGCAUAGCUUUGUCAUAGACAAUGUUGCAAAUGUAGCAAAGAGGAGAAGAAAUGUAGAAGAUAAAUGGAACCUGCAGUGCUCAUAGAGUAUCAGGGUUGGAAGGGACCUCAGCAGAUCUAGUUGAACCCCCUGCUCAAAGCAGGACCAAUCCCCAACUAAAUCAUCCAAAAGAUUUUUGCCCCAUAUCCCUAAAUGGCCCCCUCAAGGAUGGAACUCUCAACCCUGGGUUUAGCAGGCCAAUGCUCAAACCACCAUCCCUCCCCCCUCUAAAAGAUACCUCUUUUAGCUAGACUAAAAUACAAGUCCAGGAACAAAGGCAAAUGUUGAAAUUGCCAAAUACUUCCAUAACAAAUCACCUUGCUUUGGCGUCACUGAAAAGAGCAGGUGAUUCCAAACUCAUUAUCCUGCGACAUGGAUGUUGGAAUUCAGGGGGUGACUGUUUUGAGCUAGUUAGUAAAAACUGGCCUAUUCUGAUGAUAAUUUGUGAAGAAAAUUAUGACCAAGUGAAUGAAACUAUCACAGCCAAAGUAGCCACCAUCAGGCUAAAGAGAAAUGUAGACGCUGGGCCAAAUAUACUGAAACCUAUUUCCAUAGCCUUGGAUGAACUGCGGAAAGAUUGCUGCGGUAUGGUGGAUGCUGCUGAAAUUUGGAAAAAACUUCAAGGGACAUUGAAGAAAGAAAUACCCACCAACACAGGUAAAUUGCAGGCAGAUGGAUCCACCUCAUUUCCUUGCCAAUAUUCUCAACCCAAAGCACCAGGAUAGAUGCUGCUGCUAUGACAUGGGCAUAUAAUAAUCGCCCAUCAGUCAUAUCAACCACAAUAAAUCUCAGGACUGGAGGUGAACCGUUCAAGCAGUACACAUUUGCUGAUGUUUUAAAGAAAAUCACACCACUGAACAGCACUGAUUACAGUUAAUCCCUCUGGUCCUGUAAUAAAUAAUUUAGUUGGAAAUGUGAAACAUGUUUGGAUAAGAGAAAUGUAUGUAUCCAAAACAUUUAAGGUUGAUUUGUUUAAUAAAAAUAAAUUGAAUAUGC